rnacentral:rRNA from 1 species
CCUUCGGGUGAGUGGCGGACGGGUGAGUAACGCGUGGGAACGUGCCCUUUGGUUCGGAACAACACAGGGAAACUUGUGCUAAUACCGAAUGUGCCCUUCGGGGAAAGAUUUAUCGCCAUUGGAGCGGCCCGCGUUGGAUUAGGUAGUUGGUGAGGUAAAGGCUCACCAAGCCUACGAUCCAUAGCUGGUCUGAGAGGAUGAUCAGCCACACUGGGACUGAGACACGGCCCAG